UACGUAGGGUGCGAGCGUUGUCCGGAAUUAUUGGGCGUAAAGAGCUCGUAGGCGGUGUGUCACGUCGGCCGUGAAAACCUGCAGCUUAACUGUGGGCGUGCGGUCGAUACGGGCAUCACUGGAGUUCGGCAGGGGAGACUGGAAUUCCUGGUGUAGCGGUGAAAUGCGCAGAUAUCAGGAGGAACACCGGUGGCGAAGGCGGCCCCCUGGGCCGGCCCUGACACUGAGACGCGGAAGGCGUGGGGAGCGAACGGG
rnacentral:rRNA from 1 species